UACGUAGGGUGCGAGCGUUGUCCGGAAUUAUUGGGCGUAAAGAGCUCGUAGGCGGUGUGUCACGUCGGCCGUGAAAACCUGCAGCUUAACUGUGGGCGUGCGGUCGAUACGGGCAUCUCUGGAGUUCGGCAGGGGAGACUGGAAUUCCUGGUGUAGCGGUGAAAUGCGCAGAUAUCAGGAGGAACACCGGUGGCGAAGGCGGGUCUCUGGGCCGAUACUGACGCUGAGGAGCGAAAGCCAGGGGAGCAAACGGG
rnacentral:rRNA from 1 species